UACGUAGGGCGCGAGCGUUGUCCGGAAUUAUUGGGCGUAAAGAGCUCGUAGGCGGCCUGUUGCGUCCGCUGUGAAAUCCCAGGGCUCAACCCUGGGCGUGCGGUCGAUACGGGCAUCACUGGAGUUCGGCAGGGGAGACUGGAAUUCCUGGUGUAGCGGUGAAAUGCGCAGAUAUCAGGAGGAACACCGGUGGCGAAGGCGGGUCUCUGGGCCGAUACUGACGCUGAGGAGCGAAAGCGUGGGGAGCGAACAGG
rnacentral:rRNA from 1 species